GUCCGCUUCCCCGCUUGCAUCCGUACGGAUGGGCUAUGGCCUUCGAGGCACGGGAAGUCCACAUUUCAAAGAGGC
ncrna:unclassified sequences Fibro-purF